rnacentral:misc_RNA from 1 species
UGAUAAAGAAGUGGUGGAAAAGGUCUGCUAAAUUUUCACUCCAUGCUUUACCUUGUUCACUUUUUUGCUGGUCUUUUCAUCAACAUAUGCUUAUCACCGUAUGAAGCAAGUUUUCAAUUUAGAACUAUACACUUUGAAGCAAGCAAUGACUUUUUGUUCUGUCAUAUCCAAAUUCCCUACAGCGGUUUCUCUUUUCCAGAACAGGAUCAUUUCUUACAGCUUUACAUUCCUUAACAGGUGUGGGAUAGAAUUGCACCAG